UACAGAGGGUGCAAGCGUUAAUCGGAAUUACUGGGCGUAAAGCGAACGUAGACGGUUGGAUAAGUCGGAUGUGAAAGCCCCGGGCUCAACCUGGGAAUUGCAUUCGAGACUGUUCAGCUAGGGUGCGGAAGAGGGAAGCGGAAUUUCCGGUGUAGCGGUGAAAUGCGUAGAUAUCGGAAGGAACACCAGUGGCGAAAGCGGCUUCCUGGUCCAGCACCGACGUUCAGGUUCGAAAGCAUGGGGAG
rnacentral:rRNA from 1 species